UGGGGAAUAUUGCACAAUGGGGAAGACCCUGAUGCAGCGACGCCGCGUGAAGGAAGAAGUAUCUCGGUAUGUAAACUUCUAUCAGCAGGGAAGAAAAUGACGGUACCUGACUAAGAAGCCCCGGCUAACUACGUGCCAGCAGCCGCGGUAAUACGUAGGGGCGAAGCGUUAUCCGGAUUUACUGGGUGUAAAGGGAGCGUAGACGGAGCAGCAAGUCUGAUGUGAAAGGCGGGGGACGUCAACCCCAGGCCGCACCGCUGAUUUGGAAAACUGUUUGAUCUUGAGUACCGGAGAGGUAAGCGGAAUUCCUAGUGUAGCGGUGAAAUGCGUAGAUAUUAGGAGGAACACCAGUGGCGAAGGCGGCUUACUGGACGGUAACUGACGUUGAGGCUCGAAAGCGUGGGGAGCAAACAGGAUUAGAUACC
rnacentral:rRNA from 1 species